rnacentral:lncRNA from 1 species
UGAUGACAUGACAGCUCUGGUUUCUGACUUUGGCAUUGCAAGGUUAGUUUUGACAGUUGGGGGUGGAAAUGCUGGGGUAGUUGAGAAUGUGGGCAACUCUACUGCAAAUUUGCUAUCUGGAUCUAUCGGAUAUAUUGCACCAGGUAUGAAUUUACCCUUUGCUUCUGCAUCUGCAAAAGCAAACAGCAAACCAAAAAUUUAAAAGACAUUAAACAACAAACCAAAAAACCAAAAAGAUAGUGCUUUCUAUUAUCACACAAUUAAGAAAAAUGGUUAAAAGGACUAUUUUAUUGAUAUAACUUUUCAAUUAUGUCCAUCUUAAAUAACACAUGAGCAAUUAUUAUAAUUGAAUAAUAAGUAAGAAUUGAUGAGAGUUACUGAAAAUAAGAUAAAAUUUAAUAAGCGUAUAAUAGACAAUGUAAGGAUUAACUGUAAUAAACCAAAAAGGAAAUAUGGACAAUCUUUUUGGGACGGAGGGAGUAACAUUUUCCACAAUGCAGGUAGGUUAUAAAAUUUUUCAUCUACUUAAAAUAUGCAUAAAAGAUGAAGAGACUAUAAGUUAAUGAUUAGUAACAAUCACUGUUCAACUGGUUCCCACCUAAAUCCACCCACAUGUCAAGGCAAGUAAAAUGAUUUCUUAACUGUAUAAGUAUCACACCAUUGCUAUGAAAAGGAUCCGAUUUGUCUCAUCAAUCUGUAUCGUCAUAUAUCCAACUUUGCAAUUCAGUCCUGUCUUACAACUCAUGGGCACAAAGCACUGCCUUAUUCAAUUCUCAUUCAAAAAUGCAGAGUAUGGGUUCGGUUCAAACACAUCUACUAAAGGAGAUGUUUAUAGCUUUGGUGUUGUAGUUCUUGAGAUGGUCACUAGAAAAAGACCGACAGAUGACAUGUUUGCUGGUGGGCUAAACCUGCAUAGAUGGGUGAAGAGUUACUACCAUGGUAGAAUGGAACAGGUGAUAGACUCUUCUUUGUUGAGAGCUGCAAGAGAUCAAUCCCCUGAAGUAACGAAGAUGUGGGAAGUUGCAAUAGGAGAAUUAAUUGAGUUGGGUAUUCUUUGCACUCAAGAGUCCCCUUCCACAAGACCUACAAUGCUUGAUGUAGCUGAUGACUUGGAUCGACUAAAGAGGUAUCUUAGUGGAGAUACAACUGCAACAUUUGCAUCUUCAUUGGGAAUUUCAUCAUCCACCACAGGAGAUGACUAAUGACUUGCCAAUUUGUUGUAUUGUAAAUUGCAUUAAUUCUCCAAUUUAACCUUUUCUUUUCCUGACCUGUCAAGAACUUUAACUUGACUUCUCACCUCUCUCGACCAAGUCAUUUAUGCAUGAAUUUUUUUUAUAAACCCAAAAAACAUGCAUAUAGCAUAUAAUUGCUAAAUUCAAAUUAAAAUACAAAAGCAAAAUAAGUAUGCAAUUGAAAUAUAUUAUUUAUCAGUUUUCAUCAAUUACAACCUCCUCACUAUUCAUUUGCUUAGAUAAACAACUCUUUAUCAUUUUUUAUGUUUCAUAAUUUUCAUUUGAGUUUUGUAUCAGAGCAGACAGGGAGUUUGCAUAUAAGAAGGGAGAUAGACAAAGUAAUAAUAUCAUGUAAUGUCUUUUUAUCUUGGCCAAAAGCUCUAAAAUUAUCAACAAAUGUUGCACCUCCCAACAAGCUUUUAAAAAAAAAAAAUCUUGUCGUCAGAACCCCAGAAAGCAUAUUUUUCUUGUGCUGUGAGCAGUUCAAGAAGGUUAUGGUGAUUCAUCAUAGUAAUCAUCACCGAUAUUCAUCUAGCAUAAGCAAAUAUCAUAUGGUUCCACUGCCAAUAAUAUAUGGUUUUGUCUACUGGAACCCUAGUUUUCCAUGAGCAUAAGUAGAUUUUUAAUUUUCAUAACUACAGCAUAUUUAGGGAAUAUCAGGAAUUAGCUUACACCUGGGGUAUACUAGGAGUGGACUAAGAGGACCUUAGAUAUUAUUUUUAUUCAAGUUAAAAUCAUAUAGUACAUUAGAUUAGAGAAAAAUCCUUAAAUCUGUGCUUGUGGGUUAAUUCAGACAACCAGAAGCUUGAGAAAAAAUAACAUUAAGGACUCUAGAGUCAAGAAGCUUAGAAUUAUGAUCCAAAUUUAAUAUAGGAUUUAGUAAGAAUAUUAUAUUAUAACUCCUAGUCCUUCAUAAGUUUUAUUGUGUCUAUUCCAAAAAUAUAAGUGUUGGGUUACCAUUUUAACAUUUUUAAGUCUUAAACUACUUUUGCGAUUCCCAGCUUUGUUGGAGUGGAUGUUUUAAAGAGUCUUAAUUUUCUACUGUAGCAUUGUCCCUUGCAGUUUUCUCCAGAACUCCAAAUCUUGGAGAAUUAGGACUAAAUUUGAUCAUCCAAUGGAAAUCUAGUGUUGUGCCUAAGGGAGUACAGGUGGGACUAUUAAUAGAAUUAGGCUAAGCCUCUGCAAAUAGCUCAACAAUCUACUUUCCUUUUCAUUUUUGCUGCAAAGCUACUCUCGGUAAACAAACCUAAUUUUCUAUUCAUUCUAGCUUUUGAAUAAAUCCGAAAUCUAGCCCGAUAAUCAUCCUACUACCUGUCAAAUAUCAGGGCUAGCAGUAUCAUUUGGAAACAAGUUACACAUAUAACUAAAACAGAAAGGUUUGACAACAAAAUGGGAAAAAGAAACUCAUAUAAGACUCUUACAAAAAGAGUACACAGCUAAAAGUUCUUUUAUAGGGACUGAUGUGGCUACUGCUCUAAUGCAAUAUGAAGUGCUCCCAAGGAGUAGAUAAUAUGCAUCAGAAGCCUUCCAGAUAACAUUUUCUCUCAUUGUCGGUGAGUAACUCUUGCAUUCCUCUAUGGAUAAUUACAUUUACCAGCAUGUCAGACCACCUAACCUCAACAACAAAUGCGAAAAAGAAUAGCAACAAAUGGUUGCUAACUGAAAUAUAUUCGAUUAUAUAGUAUUUGUCAAAUUGUCUCGACUCACCAAUUCUUCAGCCUAUGUAAUCUGACAAGCAAGUUUUGGAACUAAAGGACAAGUACCAAACAUAUGCAAACAUUCCAUUGAUCAAACUGAGUACCAUUUGAAACAAGUAAAAAAAAAAAAUAAUAAUAAAUUCAAUCAUAUAAUACCCAGAUUUCAAAGUGCUGUUAUACAACAUCUAGCUGAAAAAUUCAGUUAAAUUUGACAAUAGAUGUCAAUCCAUAAGAGUCUUAGAACAGCAGGUCAGCUGAAGGAGAAAAACCAUUUGCAAAAAGAAUUGUACAGUAAUGCACAAUUGCUGUUGAGACAAAUAUGUAUAUGAACAAUUUAGCUAAACAAAGCCUUAGCAAGAAACAAACUACCACAUCUACAACCAUUUUAAGACAAGCAACCAAGUUUUUUAGCAACUUUGAAAAGAAUAAAGACUCAAUUACACACCAUUCAACCCAAAAACUCAAAAUUUAGACACGGAUAUUGUCCUUUACCGAUAAAUGAAUUCAAGAAGAGAAUGAGAAUUAAUUGAGAAGAAGAGAACGACCUUGUUUUGAGCCAGAAAUCCCAUAAUCGACAGCCAUCGGGUGAAUCUUUUCUUGUUCUUCUGCAAUUUAAGAUGAAGUUUGGAAUUUGGAAAAUUCAUUUUCUAACAAGAAAGAAUCGAAUAAUUCCGCCACUUGAUAGGGCUUACAGCUGCGACCCAUUUGAUAUAUCUAUGGGCCGGGUCUUUUAUUGCCCCAUAUGGUAAAGGGUAGGCAUUGUAGGAUCGGAA